rnacentral:rRNA from 1 species
GCUUACAGCCUUGUCUGAUCUGGGAAGGUAAGCAGGGUCGGGCCUGGUUAGUACUUGGAUGGGAGAAAGCCUGGGAAUACCAGGGGCUGUAAUCU